rnacentral:tRNA from 1 species
GCCUCCUUGGCUCAACCUGGCAGAGCACUCGACUUGUAAUCGAGAGGUUACCGGUUCGAUUCCGGUAGGAGGCUCCA